ensembl:lncRNA
CUUUCACACUGAACUACAUCCCAAGCCCUUUUUAAUUUUUCUCCCCUUUAGCUAAGUCACUAAAUUGCCCAGGCUGGGACUGAAUUUGCAGUCCUCCUGCCUCAGCCUACCAGAGUGCUGGGAUUACAGGUGUGCUCUACCACUCCUAGUCUGAGGAUUCUAAUCAGGAUAAAUCUUGGAAUUCAUUCUUGGAAUGCUGAGCAGAACGGAGCAUCUCCAUGAGGAGGACCUGAAGAAAUGAGAUUUUCCUCAUCAUCAAAGUGUGGGAGCCCUUUGAAGGAUGGGCAAUGGCUGCUGAGAAGAAUUCAGACUGGAGCUGUGGUCUAGAUGCAGCAACUGAGGAUAAUCAAAUAAAUGUGCUAUGUUGGACACUGUGACGGGAAGAAGAUGGAAGAGAGAGGAUGUGAGCAUGUAUAUUUGAAGACGAGGGAAAGAGUGGCUGUGGCAGGUAAAGCAUGAUGACUUUGGCUGGGAAGGAGGUGGACACAAGUGGGAUGGGCUGGAGGCAUGGGGUGGGAUGUCAACAU